rnacentral:rRNA from 1 species
ACGAAUGCUGGCGGCAUGCCUAACACAUGCAAGUCGAACGAGACCUUCGGGUCUAGUGGCGCACGGGUGCGUAACGCGUGGGAAUCUGCCCUUGGGUUCGGAAUAACAGUUGGAAACGACUGCUAAUACCGGAUGAUGACGUAAGUCCAAAGAUUUAUCGCCCAGGGAUGAGCCCGCGUAGGAUUAGCUAGUUGGUGGGGUAAAGGCCUACCAAGGCGACGAUCCUUAGCUGGUCUGAGAGGAUGAUCAGCCACACUGGGACUGAGACACGGCCCAGACUCCUACGGGAGGCAGCAGUGGGGAAUAUUGGACAAUGGGCGAAAGCCUGAUCCAGCAAUGCCGCGUGAGUGAUGAAGGCCUUAGGGUUGUAAAGCUCUUUUACCCGGGAUGAUAAUGACAGUACCGGGAGAAUAAGCCCCGGCUAACUCCGUG